rnacentral:rRNA from 1 species
AUUGAACGCUGGCGGCAGGCCUAACACAUGCAAGUCGAACGAGUGGCGGACGGGUGAGUAAUGUCUGGGAAACUGCCUGAUGGAGGGGGAUAACUACUGGACACGGUAGCUAAUAACGCAUACCAUCAGAUGUGCCCAGGUGGGAUUAGCUUGUUGGUGGGGUAACGGCGCACAAAGGCGACGAUCCCUAGCUGGUCUGAGAGGAGGAACAGCCACACGGGAACGGAGACACGGUCCAGACUCCUACGGGAGUCAGCAGUGGGGAAUAUUGCACAAUGGGCGCAAGCCUGAUGCAGCCAUGCCGCGUGUAUGAAGAAGGCCUUCGGGUUGUAAAGUACUUUCAGCGGGGAGGCGUUACCCGCAGAAGAAGCACCGGCUAACUCCGUGCCAGCAGCCGCGGUAAUUC